UGCCAGCCGCCGCGGUAAUACGGAGGGGGCGAGCGUUAUUCGGAAUUACUGGGCGUAAAGGGUGCGUAGGCGGCCCAUCAAGUUAGACGUGAAAGCCCCGGGCUCAACCCCGGACAUGCAGGAGAUACUGGCAGACUUGAGACCGGUAGAGGCUAGCGGAAUUCCUGGUGUAGCGGUGGAAUGCGUAGAUAUCAGGAAGAACACCGGUGGCGAAGGCGGCUAGCUGGGCCGGGUCUGACACUCAUCCGCGAAAGCGUGGGGAGCAAACAGGAUUAGAUA
rnacentral:rRNA from 1 species